GCUGGGUGUGGUGUUGUGUGCCUGUAGUCCUAGCUACUUGGGAGGCUGAGGCAGGAGGAUUGCUUGAGUCCAGGAGUUCAAGGCUGCAGUGAGCGAUGAUCAUACCACUGCAUUCCAGCCUGGGUGACAGAGCAAGACUCUGUCUUUA
rnacentral:SRP_RNA from 1 species